rnacentral:rRNA from 1 species
UCGGGAAUUUUGGGCAAUGGGGGAAACCCUGACCCAGCAACGCCGCGUGAAGGAUGAAGUAUUUCGGUAUGUAAACUUCGAAAGAAUAGGAAGAAUAAAUGACGGUACUAUUUAUAAGGUCCGGCUAACUACGUGCCAGCAGCCGCGGUAAUACGUAGGGACCAAGCGUUGUUCGGAUUUACUGGGCGUAAAGGGCGCGUAGGCGGCAUGACAAGUCACUUGUGAAAUCUCUGGGCUUAACCCAGAACGGCCAAGUGAUACUGUCGCGCUAGAGUGCAGAAGGGGCAAUCGGAAUUCUUGGUGUAGCGGUGAAAUGCGUAGAUAUCAAGAGGAACACCUGAGGUGAAGACGGGUUGCUGGGCUGACACUGACGCUGAGGCGCGAAAGCUAGGGUAGCAAACGGGAUUAGAUACCCGUGUAGUCCCUGAGCGGGCUGGCAAGGCGCAU